rnacentral:rRNA from 1 species
UACAGAGGGUGCGAGCGUUACUCGGAAUUACUGGGCGUAAAGCGUGCGUAGGUGGUUUGUCGCGUUGUUCGUGAAAACCGGGGGCUUAACCCUCGGCGUGCGGGCGAUACGGGCAGACUUGAGUACUGCAGGGGAGACUGGAAUUCCUGGUGUAGCGGUGGAAUGCGCAGAUAUCAGGAGGAACACCGGUGGCGAAGGCGGGUCUCUGGGCAGUAACUGACGCUGAGGAGCGAAAGCGUGGGGAGCGAACAGG